AUAUGAAACGGGACCAUAUAAUAAAUUUAACUUUACAGCAAAUCAGUCAUUGAAACAAAGUGCACUAUGAAAUAUUUCAACCUUUUUUAUAUUCUUGUAAUAAUACUUUCUCUUAGUUUGAUUUCGUCUGGAAAACAACCGGAGAAGAGCCAGAACACAAAAGACAAGCACCACAAAAAAAAGGCCAAACUUGUCAGUAGUUUCGCCUCUUGGUUAUUCAGAAGAAAUCGAUCUCUAAAAUGUUUUGAAAACUCCUGAGAAUGUAAAGAAUCUCAGCUAGUGCACCUAACCUACACCGCGAGAAAAUUCCCGUGCGUUGCACGAUCCCAAUAUUUUAAAAACUAGGUAAAACCGCUCAGUUUUUAAAAUGGCGAAGUGCAUAUUAUUCAAAAACAUAGGAAAAAUUUAGUCAUUGUGAAACUGGUAUCGUACAAAGUAUGAGCACUUCCCCUAAGCAGAUUUAUAUAAUAUAAUUCUCAACGUACAAUAUCUAUUGCUUUGUAAACAUGUUUUCAACAUUUUAGUGAGAGUAAUGAAACUAAGAUUUAGUUAUAUCGCUCAUUCUUAUAGACAGGUUCAAAAUUCUAAAACAAAAGUUAUUGUGCGCUGGGAAAAAAGACAUAUAACAUGCAAUUCCAGCCCAAAACAAAACUCUUUUAACCCUUUGACGAUUGGAACACCGAUGUCCCAUAUAAAGAGAAUAAAUUUUCCUGACUACCUAAAGUUUUUUUCUUAUGUUUGUAAAUAAUUGCAAAGUAGAAGGUUGAAGAGGAAUCUAGAAUAUUUUUUGCAAAUUUCCAGCUAUUUGCUUUUAUAAUAAAAAUUUCAAGCCUCAGUCUCUUUUAUUUUAGAAAAUAGUGAAUAUUGGAAUUUUCGUUUUAAAAAAUUUUGCUCCAGCCUCCCCUAUUAUUUUUCCGGAGUUCAAGCAAUAAAAAAUCACAAAAUAGUAAAAAUGUAAAAGUAAUUUUGUGUCAAUUAAACCAGACGCUAUCAAAUUUACAAUACAGUAUUUUUUAUUUA